rnacentral:rRNA from 1 species
GACGAACCGUGCGAACGUUAUUCGGAAUCACUGGGCUUAAAGCGCGUGUAGGCGGCCCGGCACGUCAGUCGCUGAAAUCCCCCGGCUUAACCGGGGAACUGCCGUGGAUACUGCCCAUCUCGAGGAGGGUAGGGGCGUCUGGAACUAGCGGUGGAGCGGUGAAAUGCGUAGAUAUCGUAAGGAAGACCAGUGGCGAAGGCGAGUCUCUGGACAGUUGCUGACGCUGAGGCACGAAGGCCAGGGGAGCAAACGGG